rnacentral:rRNA from 1 species
CAACCGGGAUUGCCUCAGUAACGGCGAGUGAAGCGGCAAGAGCUCAAAUUUGAAAGCUGGCUCCUUCGGGGUCCGCAUUGUAAUUUGCAGAGGAUGCUUCGGGUGCGGCCCCUGUCUAAGUGCCCUGGAACGGGCCGUCAGAGAGGGUGAGAAUCCCGUCUGGGAUGGGGUGUCCGCGCCCGUGUGAAGCUCCUUCGACGAGUCGAGUUGUUUGGGAAUGCAGCUCUAAAUGGGUGGUAAAUUUCAUCUAAAGCUAAAUACUGGCCGGAGACCGAUAGCGCACAAGUAGAGUGAUCGAAAGAUGAAAAGCACUUUGAAAAGAGAGUUAAAAAGCACGUGAAAUUGUUGAAAGGGAAGCGCUUGCGACCAGACUCGCCUCCAGGUUCAGCCGGCAUUCGUGCCGGUGU